rnacentral:misc_RNA from 1 species
AACAAGGCGUACCUGCGGACCUGCGGAAGGAUCAUUACUGAGUCACGUGCUCAAACAACCCUUCUGUGGACCUGAAAUAAAACCGUUGCCUCGGCGGGCGGUCCCCCCCAAACCAACCCCACGUGGUGGGUUAGGGGAGACCAGACAGUCCGGUACGCUUAAGGCGUCCGGCGCCAGCCGCUGGCCCCAAACAAUUAAACUCUAGUAAUCUUUACCUUCUGAAUUUCAAUAUUUAAAAAU